AGUGUAUGCUUGAUUACGAAUAUUUCAAAAUGAAGCUGCAGUUUUGCACCAUGCUGCCAUAUAUGUGUGCACUGGGCAUAUUUUCUUCUAUUUUGCUUUCCGAAGUGACAAAGACGAGUGGUGAAACUUUUGAGCGAAUUUACUACGAAAGUGAUGAUCCAGUCCAUGCGCCCCAAGAAGACGUAUCAGUAGAAUCAGCGAACAAUGUUUCUGCGGCGAGGAAUCUUUCUGCGACGACUGAACACUCCGGAAUUUGGGGAUUUUUAUUCGACAUGUCUUGGUUAUGCCACCUUGCCCAAAGGCAGUGUGUGCCGAAAAAUGGCUGCCCCGAGAACCGAAAGUCGUCUAUUUUUAGUUGUCGAAGCGGAUAUGCUUGUUGUAGGUUUGGAAGUAGAUGCGAAAGGAAGGGAGGUUACUGCGCUAAGAAUUGCUUUGGAGAUAUCGCUAAUGAUGACUGGAGAUGUCAUGACUCGACAAUGAAUUGCUGUGUAAGUGUGCGCAAGAGGAACCAGAUGCCAGCUCAUCGCAUGCCGGCGCUACUACCUGAAUGAAAUUUAUUGUACGCAACGCAUCACUGUAAGGAAAUAAACGCUCACGAUCGUCAUUCCUUUGGC